AUAGGAAAUGAAUACUACGUGUUUUUUAAUGUUCUCAAAGUACUUUAACAUACUACUAUUGGGACAUGCCAUAACUAUUUGACUGAGAAGUCUGUCUCUCUGUCUUCUAGGCUAUAAGUUCUUGAUAACCUAUAUUCAGAGUCUCAUUUUAUACAUGUUGUACUACUGUUUUACAGUUUGUAUGUUUUUGAGACAGAGUCUUGCUCUGUCG
rnacentral:lncRNA from 1 species